ACCAUUUGUAAAAAUCUCCCAGGUGACAUAAUAACCAAUGGUAGAAAACAGCUUUCCUCAGACUUGAACAGCCAGGGACAUGCACUCUCAGCUCUCCCUUUCACCUCAAGGCUGGAAGAGGAUUCAAUGACUGUAAAGAAAUGAAACACAUCUAAGUAAGAAGUCAAUUGUUCCUUGUGCUGUGCUCUCCUGGGGUCAGGAUGACUAUGUCUGAGAUCUGAGGACAAUGUGCUCUUCUGUGGUCUUAGAAACAGGAACACGGCUUUGCUGAAAAUCCUAUCAGACUUUGAAUCUGCCCUUUUCAUCUUAAGGAAACACAUAGACAUACUUUUUAAUGUCACUGAUACGGAAGGACAUUGAAUUCUAGCACCC
rnacentral:lncRNA from 1 species